UACGGAGGGGGCUAGCGUUGUUCGGAAUUACUGGGCGUAAAGCGCACGUAGGCGGCUUUGCAAGUUAGAGGUGAAAGCCCGGGGCUCAACUCCGGAAUUGCCUUUAAAACUGCAUCGCUAGAAUUGUGGAGAGGUAAGUGGAAUUCCGAGUGUAGAGGUGAAAUUCGUAGAUAUUCGGAAGAACACCAGUGGCGAAGGCGACUUACUGGCCUGGUAUUGACGCUGAGGUGCGAAAGCGUGGGGAGCAAACAGG
rnacentral:rRNA from 1 species